CGAACCCGGACACGGAGAUUGGUCCUUCGGGGCCCAGUGCGGUAACGCAAACCAGCUCGGAGACGCCGAUGCGAGCCCCGGGAAGAGUUUUCUUUUCUCUGUAAGGAGAUCGAGUCCCUGGAAUGGGUUCGCCCCGAGAUAGGGAUGGUGGCUCCGUAGAGCAGUGCGGUUCUUGCGCUGUCCGGUGCGCUCGCGUCGGCCCUUGAAAAUCCGAGUGAGGGAGUGUGAUUUUCGUGCCGGACCGUACCCACAUCCGCAGCAGGUCUCCAAGGUGAACAGCCUCUAGUCGAUGGACCAAUGUAGGUAAGGGAAGUCGGCAAAACGGAUCCGUAACCUUGGGAUAAGGAUUGGCUCUGAGGACUGAGCCGGUCGGGCUGGGGACCUGAAGCAGGAACGGCACUGCACCGGGACUGGGCGGGGCUCGCCGUUCACGCGGCGCGGCCAAGCCCGGACCAGCGUCGGGACCUUCCUGUGGAAAGCCUCAGCUGCGCGGCGUCUGAGGGCUUCGUGCCCAAAGUGCUAUGCUUCGGCCGGCAAAAAACAGUCAACUCAGAACUGGCACGGACCGGGGGAAUCCGACUGUCUAAUUAAAACAAAGCAUUGCGAUGGCCGCUGGUCGGUGUUGACGCAAUGUGAUUUCUGCCCAGUGCUCUGAAUGUCAACGUGAAGAGAUUCAUCAAAGCGCGGGUAAACGGCGGGAGUAACUAUGACUCUCUUGUGAGCGGGCUUAGCGCACGCGUUGGAUCACAGAGGGUAGCCCCGAUAGGAUCACCCUAUUCGGCGUUUGUUUCGAGUUUGGCCGCUCGGAGCACCUAGUUACUCGGGGAGUUGGAGCGUGACCAUAAAGUUCGGACCUUGACUAUGGAUCACGGUAGAGCCUCCGACUUCCCACGGGAUGUGUACCUCCUCGAUGGUACCGCUGGAAACGGUUGUCUGAACACCGGCCAAACCACGUCCCAAACCCAGGAUCUACGGGGAAACCCUCCCCGCAGGUUCCACUGCGGCUCGGCGAGUCCGAAAACCCACAAAUCGGAAAGCCACGGGUCAAUGCC
rfam:Ixodes scapularis strain Wikel colony gcontig_1108379093826, whole genome shotgun sequence.